rnacentral:lncRNA from 1 species
UAAUUCAGUAUAUUAAAAAAAAUUGUUCAAAUGCCUCCCUUUCUGGGGCUUUAGUUUUUCAGUUUUCAGGGCAGAGCAAAUACAAUUAAAAGGGGUAUAGCUCCACAGUGGUUUGAAACCUCUCUCUAGGAUCUGCUCGAAACAAUUAAAAUCAUCAGAUGCAGCCUCCCUUUGGCUAAACGAAAGGACUCCAUUUUGCUGGGAGAAAUUGUAUUCUUCUCUAUAAAAGUACAUAUGUCAAAUUAAAAAAAAACUGACUUUUAUCAGACUCAAAAAAGGUAGAGAAAAUGUUUUUUUUUUUUUUUUUUCUGGAACCCACAAUAAUAUCAAUUGCAAACAUUUAAUGUUUAGAAGAAGUUGUUUCUUUGCCAUACAUUC